GGUACCGUGGUCCAGUGGCUUAAGACUAUGAUCUAGAUUGGCGGAGACUUGGGUUCGAUCCCCACCGGUAUUC
rnacentral:tRNA from 1 species